AGCCUGACUAGUUUCGCGGCUAGAUGGUCGGCAAAAAAUGAUGGUCAGCCUCUCUCCCAGUUCAAGGCUUAUGCUUUGGCCCAUAAGUCAAAGGCGAUGCACGGGGUUGCAUAUGACCCGAAUGACCCGGCCUCAGCGUACAGCAACGAGAACGUCAAGGCUCGCCUGGAUGGAUACACAUCGAUGGCAAAGGAGGUCCACGGCCCAGACUUUGAUCCGAGCGAGCAUGAUCUUGAUGGGGAAGUGGUUAUGAGGGCGGGAGGAGGCAAGAAACAUGGCCGGUUCUGGAUUGGCGACGGUACACUCGAUACGGCCACCACUCCCUCUCUCUCUCUCAGCUUAGAGCUCAGAGCAUGAGCUCAGGUCCGGGUAUACGUCCUCGCCCAGAGCCUACACGGAUUGCGAUGAACGAAAUCCAGGCCCAGCUGGAUGAAGAAAGGAGGCUCCGGCACGAAUUAGAGAGAUCGUUCGAGGAGAGGAUGGCGGUAGAACGAUCCCAGUGGUAUGCGAUGAUGACACCCCUUUAUGCUGCAAUGGGCCAAACUCCGCCACCGAUGCCAACCCCUUCUCGUCCACUUGCUCCACAGGCUCCACACACUCCUUAUCCAUCAGAGGGAUCGAAUACGCCUGGAGCUGGAGGUUCGCACAUUUGUACUCCACCUCACUUUGGUUUGUUCUCCUCACUUUGAA